UACGAGGGGGGCGAGCGUUGUUCGGAAUUAUUGGGCGUAAAGGGUGCGUAGGCGGUUCGGUAAGUUUCGUGUGAAAUCUUCGGGCUCAACUCGAAGCCUGCACGAGAUACUGCCGGGCUUGAGUGUGGGAGAGGUGAGUGGAAUUCCUGGUGUAGCGGUGAAAUGCGCAGAUACCAGGAGGAACACCGGUGGCGAAGGCGGAUCUCUGGGCCGAUACUGACGCUGAGGAGCGAAAGCGUGGGGAGCGAACAGG
rnacentral:rRNA from 1 species